GCAUCUCUGGUUCCACUCUUUCAAGGAGUCACAGUUGAGUCGAAGUCAGGCGGGUUGAUGACUUCCGAUGCUGAGUUGUGGAAUGGAAGGUUGGCGAUGUUGGGACUGGUCGCGUUGGCCUUCACCGAAUAUGUCAAGGGAGGGACACUUGUGUAGGGUGUUAGAAUUGAGGUUGCAUAAUUGGAAAAGAGUAAUUAAGAAUGUAAUCCUCCAAAGCAAAUAGAGUGAACUAUUACUUGAGUGCAGAUGUUGUGCAUAAUGCCUUCUUGAUUAGAUUUCAAUUUACGGUAUUCAUACUGUAGUUCGUUCUAUCAAAGAAUAUGCAAGGUAUUAAUCAACAUGGAGUAUACUUUGAAAUAAAUUUCUUCCGUAAAGGAAACGUCUAAAGGACAUACCUCGAUUAAUAUCUGAGAUGGUACUUGCAAACUAAUAAGCCCCAAGCACCUCUGCCAAUGAUUUCACCCAGAUGAGUAAAAAGUGAAUGAAGAACACACUUGAAUCAGAAGGAUGUCAAACUUUUCGUAAGUAAAUCGAGUAACGCAACAAUAACAAGGAUGAAUGGAGGGAGUUCGGAUCAUUCAUUGGAUGAGGGGAAUAUCAGAGGAUCUCUCAGAGAAAGCGAUUUUGCAACUAAAACAGAUCAAACUUCAAAUUUACCUCUUCCAAAAAUGGGGGAAAUUCACCAACUCGUCAACAACGUUUCUGGAGAAUGUUGCUAUCAACCAUUGAAAUAUCUUCC
rnacentral:lncRNA from 1 species